rnacentral:rRNA from 1 species
CGGAGGGUGCAAGCGUUAUCCGGAUUUACUGGGUUUAAAGGGUGUGUAGGCGGAUCUUUAAGUCAGUGGUGAAAUCUCCGAGCUUAACUUGGAAACUGCCAUUGUUACUACUGGUCUUGAAUAUCGUUGAGGUGGGCAGAAUAUGUCAUGUAGCGGUGAAAUGCAUAGAUAUGACAUAGAAUACCGAUUGCGAAGGCAGCUCACUAAGCGUGUAUUGACGCUGAGGCACGAAAGCGUGGGGAUCAAACAGGAUUAGAUACCCUGGUAGUCCACGCCCUAAACGAUGAUUACUCGACAUACGCGAUACACAGUGUGUGUCUGAGCGAAAGCAUUAAGUAAUCCACCUGGGAAGUACGUCCGCAAGGAUG